AAAAGCAAAGCAGACAACACUAUGCUUAUGAAUGUAAACAAGAAAAGCCAUGACAAAAAACCCAGACAACAAAUCCAUCACACAAUAAAUCUCAUUAUGAGCAUGUUACUGUGCAACAGGAUCAGUUUCAUCUUGUUGUAGUCAACCAGCCAACACAUAUUACAAAUUUCUGACUAAAGUUACAUCACACUCUGUGAGGCUGAAAAAUAUACAACACGCUGUCAGUCAGAGUAUAAUAAGCUAUGACAAUGCUACUGUGUAGCAUCAAUAACACCAUCAAUCAAGCUAAUAUGUUGUGCCUACAAAGACAUUGUUUUAUUUAUUUAUUUUUCUAGUUUAUCAUCAACAGAAAACCAUUUAAAUUAGUGGCUUUGAAUAAACCCUGGAGUUACAAUUACAUUGUUGUUUUAUUUGACUUUUUAGCAAAAACAAAACAUGAUUAUGCAUCAUAGGAAGGGUCUGUUUGAAAAUUGUGCUGUUAAAAUGGUUUAAUUUUAACAUAAUUUAGUUCUUAACCGGUUUUCAAAAUAAUAAUGGUGUGUUUAAGCAAUAAGGAAAUAGUGACACUCGUUAAGUAACUUCGCUUUUCUGGACACAGCUAACUUAUACUUUUUAAUGUACCACACAAAUAGAUGUGUUAAUGAAUGGUGACAGUAUUAUGAAUUUGAGUCAACCUGUAUUUCGUUGGUACACGGAGAGGGGAAGAGGGAGAGAGGACAGAGCAACCAGCCCGGUUAAAGUAACAAGCAUUUGGACUUGUAGCGAAGUGAAAAACAGCGGUGACCAAGUUUGAAACAGAGUUGCGAGAGGUUUAGAUAAACAGAAAAGCCACAUACGGGAAUGUUGUGCGACCAAUAAGCACCCAGCAGCUUUAUUUUGGCAGAGCUGACUGCGCAUGGCUACAGUCAAUAUGGAAACAUUACGGAGAGAAUUAGCCAACAAAUUGUGGGCACGUCAGAUUAGUACGCCACCGAGGCAACAGCCUGGGGAUUCAGAAACACAAUUACCACACAGGAAGCACAUGCCAUAACUUUACGACUGAGAGCCAGACAGUAAACAAACCGGGUAAGCGCCGCAUCACCACAAUGGCCAUACAGACAGCUUGCGUUAGCUUGCAGGCCCGAGCGGCCAUAUCUGAGGCAGCCAACGUUAGCCACCAUUAGCAUAGCUUUCCCACUGGAUAGCUGCAGCUAAACUUUUCCUUCAAAUCUGUGAUUUCCCGACCCUGGCAUGGUCAUUCGCGCUGACCCUGGCUUCGAGCGGAUACGAGCUAAAACGACUCCGGGUGCCCUGAAGCGAAAAACAGGAGCCAAUGGGAGCUCGAGAUCAUCGCUGUGACAUUCGGAAAGGGCUGAAAACUGAGCACCGUGGUCCCGCCCACCAUUGACUUUGUUCAGUGGGUUGCUGGAGGAGGAGGUCACAGACAUGGAAGCAGCCCAAACUUGGAUGGGAAAUGGUUUGUUUCCUCAUCACCUGAAUCUGUCAAAGAAUCCUUUUAAGUGUGUUUAGUAUGGCCUGCCAAAGAAACUGUUCUUGGAUGUAUAUUAGGUGCUGGAAAUGUUGCCAACAGGAAAUGUUUAAAUGAACAAUUUCACUCCAGGGUACAAAAAUAUUAUUGUAUAUCACUGUUUAAUCAGACAACAGAUGUGAUUAGAUCUCUAGCUUUGACUUUAGACUGGGUAUUAAUUCACACUGACAAGAAAAGUAGAAUUAUUCUUUUUUUUUGUCUAUUUCAAAAGGUAGAAGUCUGGUUAAUGUUAAAAUCCAAUUAUAUUGCUAACCCUGUAGAGCUUGCUUUGUCAAUACUGCAUUUAACUAUGGCCAUGCAAAUUUUAAAACAAAUUCACUUUGAAUUUGAUUACUUUUUAUCAUAGGAAUCAAAUUGCAUAGGAAUCAAAGUCACCUAAGAUAAAGUGCCAUUACUUUAAAAGUAAAAAAAAAAAAAAAAUACAGACACUAUUUCUAAACAUUUCUUCAUCCUGCAACAGACAAUACUGAACUUUCAGCAAUGAGGCUUUGGUUCCCUUUUAUUACAGUCUAAUACAUUAUUUGCAUUUCUGGUCCUGUAUGGCUAACACUAAAGGCAGACAGGAAGAGACAGAGGCCAAGGACACAAAUGAGGAAUUAGGCAAUUCAAACCAUUAGGCAAAUAGAGCAAUAAAAAUUCUAUCCUUGGAACUAGAAAGAACAAACAUUGACCUGUUGUAGGUACCUUGCCAAUAACAUGAACAAAACCACAAACUGUCAGAAGUAUUCAUUUAUAGGUCUUGUUAUUGUUUGUAGUGUGACCCAAUCCCUCCACUUUAAAAGAAAUCUACUUUAUACUAUUAAUUGUGUAACAGCAAUAAAGACUAUUCAUUCAUAAUCACA